rnacentral:rRNA from 1 species
CACGUAGGGUGCGAGCGUUGUCCGGAAUUAUUGGGCGUAAAGAGCUCGUAGGCGGUGUGUCACGUCGGCCGUGAAAACCUGGGGCUUAACUCUGGGCGUGCGGUCGAUACGGGCAUCACUAGAGUUCGGCAGGGGAGACUGGAAUUCCUGGUGUAGCGGUGAAAUGCGCAGAUAUCAGGAGGAACACCGGUGGCGAAGGCGGGUCUCUGGGCCGAUACUGACGCUGAGGAGCGAAAGCAUGGGGAGCGAACAGG